rnacentral:rRNA from 1 species
UACGUAGGUGGCAAGCGUUGUCCGGAUUUAUUGGGUUUAAAGGGUGCGUAGGCGGCUUAAUAAGUCAGUGGUGAAAGCCGAUCGCUUAACGAUCGAACUGCCAUUGAUACUGCUAGGCUUGAGUAUAGUUGAGGUAGGCGGAAUUGACAGUGUAGCGGUGAAAUGCAUAGAUAUUGUCAAGAACACCGAUUGCGAAGGCAGCUCACAAAACUGUAACUGACACUGAGGCUCGAAAGUGCGGGGAUCAAACAGG